rnacentral:rRNA from 1 species
UGCAGUCGACGGCAGCACAGUAAGAGCUUGCUCUUAUGGGUGGCGAGUGGCGGACGGGUGAGGAAUACAUCGGAAUCUACCUUUUCGUGGGGGAUAACGUAGGGAAACUUACGCUAAUACCGCAUACGACCUUCGGGUGAAAGCAGGGGACCUUCGGGCCUUGCGCGGAUAGAUGAGCCGAUGUCGGAUUAGCUAGUUGGCGGGGUAAAGGCCCACCAAGGCGACGAUCCGUAGCUGGUCUGAGAGGAUGAUCAGCCACACUGGAACUGAGACACGGUCCAGACUCCUACGGGAGGCAGCAGUGGGGAAUAUUGGACAAUGGGCGCAAGCCUGAUCCAGCCAUACCGCGUGGGUGAAGAAGGCCUUCGGGUUGUAAAGCCCUUUUGUUGGGAAAGAAAAGCAGUCGAUUAAUACUCGGUUGUUCUGACGGUACCCAAAGAAUAAGCACCGGCUAACUUCGUGCCAGCAGCCGCGGUAAUACGAAGGGUGCAAGCGUUACUCGGAAUUACUGGGCGUAAAGCGUGCGUAGGUGGUUGUUUAAGUCUGUUGUGAAAGCCCUGGGCUCAACCUGGGAAUUGCAGUGGAUACUGGGCGACUAGAGUGUGGUAGAGGGUAGUGGAAUUCCCGGUGUAGCAGUGAAAUGCGUAGAGAUCGGGAGGAACAUCCAUGGCGAAGGCAGCUACCUGGACCAACACUGACACUGAGGCACGAAAGCGUGGGGA